CCAGAGAACUUGGCAGAGAUGCCUUGGUGCCUUCGGGACCUCUGAGACAGGUGCUGCAUGGCUGUCGUCAGCUCGUGUUGUGAAAUGUUGGGUUAAGUCCCGNAACGAGCGCAACCCCUAUCCUUUGUUGCCAGCGAUUCGGUCGGGAAACUCAAAGGAGACUGCCGGUGAUAAACCGGAGGAAGGUGGGGAUGACGUCAAGUCAUCAUGGCCCUUACGAGUAGGGCUACACACGUGCUACAAUGGCGCAUACAAAGAGAAGCGACCUCGCGAGAGCAAGCGGACCUCAUAAAGUGCGUCGUAGUCCGGAUCGGAGUCUGCAACUCGACUCCGUGAAGUCGGAAUCGCUAGUAAUCGUAGAUCAGAAUGCUACGGUGAAUACGUUCCCGGGCCUUGUACACACCGCCCGUCACACCAUGGGAGUGGGUUGCAAAAGAAGUAGAUAGCUUAACCUUCGGGGAGGGCGUUUACCACUUUGUGAUUCAUGACUGGGGUGAAGUCGUAACAAGGUAAGCGUAGCGAG
rnacentral:rRNA from 1 species